ensembl:misc_RNA Metazoa_SRP Metazoan signal recognition particle RNA
AGUCAAAGUCUUGCAGCCUGGCAGGGUGAUACACUUCUAUAGUCUUGGCUACUCGAGCUGUGGUGGGCUGUGAUGGACUAUGUUCAUCAGGUGUCCGCACUAAGUUCAGCGUCAGUAUGGUGACCUCUUGGGAGUGGAGGACUGCCAGGCUGCCUAAGGAGGGGUGAACAGUUUCACACGGGAAACCGAGCAGGUCAAAACUACGGUGCUGAUCACUAAUGGGAUCGCACCUGUGAAAAGCCACUGCACUCCAUGCUGAGCAACAUAGUGAGACUAAU